rnacentral:rRNA from 14 species
AUUCCUUGUCGGGUAAGUUCCGACCUGCACGAAUGGAGUAACGACUUCCCCGCUGUCUCAACCAUGAACUCGGCGAAAUUGCAUUACGAGUAAAGAUGCUCGUUUCGCGCAGCAGGACGGAAAGACCCCGGGACCUUUACUAUAGCUUGGUAUUGGUGUUCGGAGUGGCUUGUGUAGGAUAGGUGGGAGACUGUGAAACCGCAACGCUAGUUGUGGUGGAGUCGCAGGUGAAAUACCACUCUGGUGUGAUUGGGUACCUGAACCUUGGCCCGUGAUCCGGGUUGGGGACAGUGCCUGGUGGGUAGUUUAACUGGGGCGGUUGCCUCCUAAAAUGUAACGGAGGCGCCCAAAGGUUCCCUCAGCCUGGUUGGCAAUCAGGUGUUGAGUGUAAGUGCACAAGGGAGCUUGACUGUGAGACAGACAUGUCGAGCAGGGACGAAAGUCGGGACUAGUGAUCCGGCACCUACUUGUGGAUGUGGUGUCGCUCAACGGAUAAAAGGUACCCCGGGGAUAACAGGCUGAUCUUCCCCAAGAGUCCAUAUCGACGGGAUGGUUUGGCACCUCGAUGUCGGCUCGUCGCAUCCCGG